rnacentral:rRNA from 1 species
CAGGCCUAACACAUGCAAGUCGAACGAACCCUUCGGGGUUAGUGGCGCACGGGUGCGUAACGCGUGGGAAUCUGCCCUUUGCUUCGGAAUAACAGUUAGAAAUGACUGCUAAUACCGGAUGAUGUCUUCGGACCAAAGAUUUAUCGGCAAGGGAUGAGCCCGCGUAGGAUUAGGUAGUUGGUGGGGUAAAGGCCUACCAAGCCGACGAUCCUUAGCUGGUCUGAGAGGAUGAUCAGCCACACUGGGACUGAGACACGGCCCAGACUCCUACGGGAGGCAGCAGUGGGGAAUAUUGGACAAUGGGCGCAAGCCUGAUCCAGCAAUGCCGCGUGAGUGAUGAAGGCCUUCGGGUCGUAAAGCUCUUUUACCAGGGAUGAUAAUGACAGUACCGGAGAAUAGCUCCGCUACUCG